GGCAGUUCUCGAGUGACACACCCUGGAAUUGGGCUCCCUCCUCUCUGGUUCUGAGUGCAUCACCCGGGAACCACA
rfam:Myotis lucifugus cont2.21228, whole genome shotgun sequence.